rnacentral:rRNA from 1 species
GGCACUCUAAGGUGACUGCCGGUGACAAACCGGAGGAAGGUGGGGAUGACGUCAAAUCAUCAUGCCCCUUAUGACCUGGGCUACACACGUGCUACAAUGGACGGUACAAAGGGCAGCCAACCCGCGAGGGGGAGCCAAUCCCAGAAAACCGUUCUCAGUUCGGAUUGCAGGCUGCAACUCGCCUGCAUGAAGCCGGAAUCGCUAGUAAUCGUGGAUCAGCAUGCCACGGUGAAUACGUUCCCGGGCCUUGUACACACCGCCCGUCACACCACGAGAGUUUGUAACACCCGAAGUCGGUGAGGUAACCCUUCUGGGAGCCAGCCGCCGAAGGUGGGACAGAUGA